UGGGGGAAUAUUGCGCAAUGGGGGAAACCCUGACGCAGCAACGCCGCGUGAUUGAAGAAGGUCUUCGGAUUGUAAAAAUCUUUUAUCAGAGACGAAGAAGUGACGGUAUCUGAUGAAUAAGCUCCGGCUAACUACGUGCCAGCAGCCGCGGUAAUACGUAGGGAGCGAGCGUUAUCCGGAUUUACUGGGUGUAAAGGGCGAGUAGGCGGAUCGGUAAGUCAGAUGUGAAAUGUCGGGGCUCAACCCCGGAACUGCAUUUGAAACUAGCUGACCUUGAGUGAUGGAGAGGCAGGCGGAAUUCCCAGUGUAGCGGUGAAAUGCGUAGAUAUUAGGAGGAACACCAGUGGCGAAGGCGGCUUUCUGGACUGUUACUGACACUGAGGCACGAAGGUGUGGGGAGCAAACAGGAUUAGAUACCCUGGUAGU
rnacentral:rRNA from 1 species